rnacentral:rRNA from 1 species
AUGUGCCGGUGCCAUCCAGGAUACCACGCUAACGCUGCCAUGCCCGGUGGAUGCGUCAAUCAUACUGAUACCCACGCAGGAAACUGCACGAGGUUCUGCGGCGGCGUGCACCUACCGUUCCCGUUCGGCAUCACAGGCAUGGGCUCGGCGGCCGGUUGCUAUCAUCCAGAGUUCAACCUCACCUGCGACAAAACCCAGGACCCACCGCGGCUGCGGCUGGGUGACGGCGGUCAAUUCCUCGUUGAGAAGAUCCACCUCAAAAAUGCCACGGUGCGCGCUGUCUACCCCGGUGCAUUCGUAAACAACACCGAAUUGGAUGGCCAGAAAUGA